GAUAAGAUCCGCAGCCCCCCGAACUGUAGACCCUCCUCCCCCGACUACGCCUCGAUAUCCUGUCCACGAAGACCACAAACAAGAUUGGUGACAAGGCAUGAAGUCAGAUAAAAGGUUACAUUCAUUGGUAACCUUUUGCAGUGUGGUCUCCAGGAGCUUAAUUUUUUGGUCGUACUCCUCAUUCUCCUGUGUUAUGGAUGCAGCGUUUGACUCCACACGUUUUAAGUGCGCCAACCUUUUCUGCUGCAAGUCCACCUCUUCUUCCAGCUUUUGAUGUUUAGAAGACAUUUCUUCGUUUACUGCUUUUUGGUCUCUGUAGAUUGAGUCAAAAUGUUGAUGAUUUUUGACCUUAACAAGGAGAUUCUUCACCUCUUUUUGAAGGGUUUCACAUUUUCUCCUAGCAAUGCCUUCCUCCUGCCUGUGAUGGUCAUACUUGUCAUUUUUAACCUUCAAACAUUCCCAUCCUGCAACCUUUAUUCCGCUCAUGUGAAUUUUCAUGCGCAUAGACUUAAGAACUUCGCAGAUCUCCCUCAGGCUCAUAUAUUCUGCGUUGAACUGUUCAGAUGACUCUGGUGGUCCCUGGUUGGAAACCGGCAGAUUCGUUGUAUAUCCUUCAGCCAUUUCUCCUGUUUGAUUUAAAAGUUGGGUAAAAUACUUCUGUGUACACGAUAAAACUUGAAAACAGCGUUGUAUUGUCAGUGGUCAAAGGUUAUGAACGGAUGCAGGACUGAGAACAGAAAGCGUGCAGCUCUCAAGAAGUCCAGUGAAGUUAUGAGGGACAAAAUGGAACCCAACAACAAAGCACAUCGGAACACAGUGACACGUUCUAUGAUGUCAAUGGCUUUGCCAAGCAACAAGGAACUACUUAUGUUGCAUCAUCGGUAAUGUGGACAUGAAAGAGAAAUCGUUUUUUUUUAAGCUUCAAAAGUCAUAUAUAUCUGGAUAUAUGAGUAAAAAAUACAAACACUUUCAAUAUGUGAAAAUAUAAACAAUAAAAGUUAAAUUAAGACUUGAGACAGUAAUAAUGACUAUGUUGUGGGACCGGGUACUGCAUAGAUUUAAGGCAACAAGCGACCAACUCCAAAGAAGCGAUAUAGAUUUAGCUACUGCUCUUGGCUUUCUGCGCUCAUGUAACAUAGUUAGAAUGGAUGGCUAAAACCCUUCUAAACUGGCUGAACUACGCCAUCUACUGCCACAAAGUGGUACACAAACGGACCGUAAAAAGGACGGAUUGUGGGUAAUCCUCAGUGUAAUGGAGGAUUAAAAGAAGGUCCACAAUUUCCUUUGUGUCCUUUAUAUUUUACAGGUAUGUUAUGUUAAGUUGAUUAACCUGUAUGUAUUUUUGGUUAUAUGUUUCAUUGUAUUGCUUGUGUAGUCAAGUUCUGUUCUUAUAAAACUAUACGAUCACUGUCUAAGUAUUUUGUGUGAGUGUAAUGGAGGAUUAAAAGAAGGUCCACAAUUUC